rnacentral:lncRNA from 1 species
UUUCUUUUUAUAAUAAAAAUAUUUUAGUAAAGUGUUAAAAAAUAUGCUUUUUUUCUUUCUUUUUCCAAAUUUUCACACAAGAAGAAAAGAGUAUUUUUUCUUCCUAAAACUUUCAAACAAAAGCAAGGGAAAGCCGUUUCUAUUCCUCUUUUUUUUCCCCCCCUCAUUAUUUUUUUUUCCUUUUCUUUCCAAAUGGAGUCUCGAUGGCUCCAAUCGGCGAUGUCUUGGAAUUAAUCCUUCGAGCUCGACAUUUCAUCGAACAUUUGGGCCCGAUCACUUUGACAAAGGAUGUCAUCGCGCUCCAACGGUGAGACGUGGACUGUCCGUCCUCACUCUGGGGCGCAAGCACCAAUCACCAUAACACACGUAUCAUUGACUUGACAGCUGGAUAAUCUCUUAUAUUGCCAUGUUUAUGAAAGAAAAAAAACUUGUACAAACUCUCGUAAAUCUAACCGAGCUAAACUCUCGUACAUCUCCCCCUCCUGAAGACAUCCACUGGAAAAACAAAAAUUUAAUUAAAAAAAAAACUAGACGGAACUCAACAAUUCAGGCUGAUGGAUUCAAUAACGAAAAAAAUGUCCAUUUCAGAACAAACUACAUGUGGAUGGCAGAAGCUGACCAUGCUCGAUUAUUUUAACAAAUCUAUUGGCAAGACAUUCGACUGCCAUUUUGGAAGCCUCAGAAAUCCAUCUGCAAAUACUGCAUUCCACUGUCUCUGUGUCAUUUGUGCUUAGGCCGCUGCUUGAGCUUCUGCAGUAAAAGGUAUUGGCUUGGUUGGGGCAGGUAGGCGACCGAUGCUAUCAACCUUAUCUCGCUGCUUUGGUGGGGGCCUGGCAGCUCUUGGUAAGAGGCGUCCCUUCUUGGCAAACCACUCAGGCUUGAGCAGUGCCUGGAA